AUUGAACGCUGGCGGCAUGCCUUACACAUGCAAGUCGGACGGUAACGGGCCUUCGGGUGCCGACGAGUGGCGAACGGGUGAGUAAUGUAUCGGAACGUACCAUUCAGUGGGGGAUAACUAUCCGAAAGGAUAGCUAAUACCGCAUAUUCUGUGAGCAGGAAAGCAGGGGAUCGCAAGACCUGUCGCUGAUUGAGCGGCCGAUAUCAGAUUAGCUGGUUGGUGAGGUAACGGCUCACCAAGGCUACGAUCUGUAGCGGGUCUGAGAGGAUGAUCCGCCACACUGGGACUGAGACACGGCCCAGACUCCUACGGGAGGCAGCAGUGGGGAAUUUUGGACAAUGGGCGCAAGCCUGAUCCAGCCAUGCCGCGUGAGUGAAGAAGGCCUUCGGGUUGUAAAGCUCUUUCGGCCGGGAAGAAAUCGCAUCAGCUAAUACCUGGUGUGGAUGACGGUACCGGAAUAAGAAGUACCGGCUAACUACGUGCCAGCCGCCGCUGUAACAC
rnacentral:rRNA from 1 species